rnacentral:rRNA from 1 species
UCUAAGUGGGAAGCCCCCCUCAAGAUGAGUACUCCCAUGGAGUUAAUCCAGUAAGGUCACGGGCAGAACACCCGUUGAUAGGUCUUAGAUGGAAGCUCAGUAAUGAGUGCAGUCGAGAGAUACUAAUAGACCGAGGGCUUGACCUCA